rnacentral:rRNA from 1 species
GCCCUUACUCCUACGGGAGGCAGCAGUGGGGAAUCUUGCGCAAUGGGCGAAAGCCUGACGCAGCAACGCCGCGUGCGGGAGGAAGGCCUUCGGGUUGUAAACCGCUUUCAGGGGAGACGAAGCUUCCAGGGUGAAUAGCUCUGUGGAGUGACGGUAUCUUCAGAAGAAGUCCCGGCUAACUACGUGCCAGCAGCCGCGGUGAUACGUAGGGGACAAGCGUUGUCCGGAAUUAUUGGGCGUAAAGCGCGUGUAGGCGGCCAAGUAAGUCUUACGUGAAAUCCUGAGGCUCAACCUCAGGCCUGCGCGGGAUACUGCUUGGCUAGAGUCCGGAAGAGGAGAGUGGAAUUCCUGGUGUAGCGGUGGAAUGCGCAGAUAUCAGGAGGAACAUCCGUGGCGAAGGCGGCUCUCUGGGACGGUACUGACGCUGAGACGCGAAAGCGUGGGGAGCGAACAGGAUUAGAUACCCUGGUAGUCCACGCCCUAAACGAUGUCGACUGGUUGUUGGGGGUUUGACACUCUCAGUAACGAAGCUAACGCGUGAAGUCGACCGCCUGGGGAGUACGGCCGCAAGGUUAAAACUCAAAGGAAUUGACGG